ACUAAAGCCCAAGCCUCUGACUCCCAGCCCUUCCCACUCCAACAGGCAGAAUUACUUCUAUAGCUUCAUUUACCACUACUUUUCCUGAGAAAUGAACAGAAAGCCAGCAUCCUCCAUGCACUCCCAUGAAAGAUGGACCCUUUAAAGAACCUCUUGGUUGGAAGUCAGAGAAGCGGCAAAGAUAUGAACUGGAGGAAUAACAGAAGAGCAGAUCCUAGAGCUAAUGCUCGGGGGCUAAAUAAGUCCUGGUGGCCCCCAAACCACUUCUACCGUGCUGCCUGGAACAGUCACCUCACUCUAUUAAACUCUUU
rnacentral:lncRNA from 1 species